UACGAAGGGGGCUAGCGUUGCUCGGAAUUAUUGGGCGUAAAGCGCGUGUAGGCGGCUUUGCAAGUCGGGUGUGAAAGCCCUCGGCUCAACCGAGGAAGUGCGCCCGAAACUGCAGAGCUUGAGUACCGGAGAGGAUGGCGGAAUUCCCCAAGUAGAGGUGAAAUUCGUAGAUAUGGGGAGGAACACCGGUGGCGAAGGCGGCCAUCUGGACGGAUACUGACGCUGAGACGCGAAAGCGUGGGGAGCGAACAGG
rnacentral:rRNA from 1 species